AUGUAUGUAGUCUUACUCUUACUCCCCCCACCUAUCCCCCCAAAAGAAGGAAAAAAAAGUCUGUUUCUGCAAGUAAGAAACAGUGACCACCCUAUCUUAAGGCUACCUUACUUUUGCGUUGGCCCACCCUCAUCAAGAGGAGCUAUUUAUCUUAGAGGGGUAGCUAUUUAUCUUAGAGGGGUGGGGUGA